UUAUUUUGAUUCUAUUGAUUGCCACAAUCAGUUGAUAUUUAUUGUAAUACCUUAAUUGAACCAUCAUGAACAAAUUAUCAUGCUUACAGAUGCUAUGCUUAUGGAAUGUGUCACAAAUCACACUAUCUGGGAAAAUAUGGGUGCCCUGUUUGCGAGUCCCAAACUAAACCCAAUACCAUCAGCCAAUGCUAUCAACAAGUACGGCAUCAGAGUUUGGACACAAAUUUUGCCUCAAUCCCAUGCAACCCUACACCCACUGUUGUCAGGAGUCAGGACACAACUUCUGUCAUCCCCCUUUGUAAAAAUGAAAUGUGGUGCCAUUGGAGCGGGUCCUCAAGGCUUCCAUCCUAACUGCACCAAAGAUCAAGAUAGUGAAUCAAUGUGGGCAAGGGCAAUCAAUAAAUGAAUGUAAGGAGCAGUACAAGCAACCUUUAAUCACACAACUUGUAAUUUGUGGAAUUCCUAUAUCAGACCAUCUAGUACCACCUUCCACAAAAACAUACAAGAUAUUGUCAUCAUAUACUCUGUGAAACUUCAAACCAAAAACUUCAAAAAUAAACAAGUGACCUAACAAUGGCGAAAUACUUCUCUUAUCUCCUAUAUGUAACAAUGCCUAACAACCAAGGGAUGAGCUGGGUAUCAUGUUUUUUAGUCCUCAUCCACGAACUCCAAACAUUCAUGUGAUUCACCUGUUGACCAACUCUGGUUUUCUUACUGUAAUUAUGUUUGAGUAGAGUUAUCUUACACUAAAUUGUCAAUCAAAGACACAGGCAGAGGGAAUUACGCCAACUUCAUGUCCAAAGUAAAGAUUCUCAGCUGAAACCAAUCUAUUGGAAUAAAACAGUCUCUGUGACAGUACUGUGCAAGCGCACUACUGUCACAGAGAACAUGGAAAGAUAUAAUCUUAUGCUAUGGGCAAUAAUCCAAAAGCAUGAAAGCAUGGUCAUGACAUCAAGCUUCCCAUGUCACUUCUCCACAAAAUCUUGCAAAACAGGAUAGAAGUUCACCCUACGCAAGAAAGUCAAUCGUUGAUCUGAAAAGUAACAAACUCAAACCUGCCAAUAAACAGAUUUAAGAUGGUUGGCAGGAAUUAAGCUUAGUCACAUAUUAAACCUGUGCAUGAAAGUGUCAAAAGCCCCAAACAUGCAGGGAGAAUGACCCUAGUUGUUGCAGAAGAAGGGAUGCAUGCCCAAACUAACCUACAAAUGAUCCAGACUCAACGUAUUAGAGGCUACUGAUAAGAACUUAAGAAGCAUGAACUGAACCAAGCAUAACAGCACAAAAUAAGAGAUGGCGACUUACUUGGCUCUGCUGAUCCUGGUAACGACUUUCCUUGCAUCAGCCAAUGCUGCAAAUGAGAAUUCAAGAAAUAAGGACUUCCUUAUCGCAAUAAGAGAGAUGCAAACUGCCACCUACUUCAGCUUUGUGAUGCUGAUGAACAUGUACCCACCUGAGAGAAUACCAGGAAACGUCACCUUUCUGAUGCCCAAUGACCGAAUG
rnacentral:lncRNA from 1 species